AUUGAACGCUGGCGGCAGACCUAACACAUUCUCGUCGAACGGGUGGCGGCCGGGUGAGUAAUUUCUGGUAAACUGCCUGAUGGUGGGGGAUACCUCCUGGAACCGGUAGCUAAUACCGCCUCCCAUCAGAUGUGCCCAGAUGGGCUUCGCUAGUUGGUGGGGUAACGGCUCACCAAGGCGACGAUCCCUAGCUGUUCUGAGAGGGUGACACGACACACUGGAACUGAGACACGGGCCAGACUCCUACGUGAGGCAACAGUGGGGAAUAUUGCACAAUGGGCGAAAGCCUGAUGCUGCCAUGCCUGGUGUAUGAAGAAGGCCUUCGGGUUGUAAAGUACGUUCAGCGGGGAGGCGUUACCCGCUGAAGAAGCACCGGCUAACUCCGUGCCAGCAGCCGCGGUAAUAC
rnacentral:rRNA from 1 species